rnacentral:rRNA from 1 species
UACGUAGGUGGCAAGCGUUGUCCGGAAUUAUUGGGCGUAAAGCGCGCGCAGGCGGUCCGAUGCGUCGUGCGUGAAAGACCCCGGCUCAACUGGGGAGUGUCGUGCGAUACGGUCGGACUGGAGGCCAGUAGGGGGAUGCGGAAUUCCCGGUGUAGUGGUGGGAUGCGUAGAUAUCGGGAGGAACACCAGUGGCGAAAGCGGCUUCCUGGACCAGCACCGACGUUCAGGCACGAAAGCUAGGGGAGCGAAGCGGG